rnacentral:rRNA from 1 species
GACGAACACUGGCGGCGUGCUUAACACAUGCAAGUCGAACGGAAAGGCCCUGCUUUUGUGGGGUGCUCGAGUGGCGAACGGGUGAGUAACACGUGAGUAACCUGCCCUUGACUUUGGGAUAACUUCAGGAAACUGGGGCUAAUACCGGAUAGGAGCUCCUGCUGCAUGGUGGGGGUUGGAAAGUUUCGGCGGUUGGGGAUGGACUCGCGGCUUAUCAGCUUGUUGGUGGGGUAAUGGCUUACCAAGGCUUUGACGGGUAGCCGGCCUGAGAGGGUGACCGGCCACAUUGGGACUGAGAUACGGCCCAGACUCCUACGGGAGGCAGCAGUGGGGAAUAUUGCACAAUGGGCGGAAGCCUGAUGCAGCAACGCCGCGUGCGGGAUGACGGCCUUCGGGUUGUAAACCGCUUUCGCCUGUGACGAAGCGUGAGUGACGGUAAUGGGUAAAGAAGCACCGGCUAACUACGUG